rnacentral:rRNA from 1 species
CAAGUCGAGGGGUAACGAUGACUUCGGCCAGGCGACGACCGGCGCACGGGUGAGUAUCGCGUUUGUAACCUACCUCUAACUGGAGAAUAGCCCGAAGAAAUUCGGAUUAAUACUCCAUAAUACUAUGAUCUGGCAUCUUUUUAUAGUUAAAGCUCCGGCGGUUAGAGAUGGGCAUGCGUGACAUUAGUUUGUUGGUGAGGUAAAAGCUCACCAAGACUACGAUGUCUAGGGGGUCUGAGAGGAUGGUCCCCCACACUGGUACUGAGACACGGACCAGACUCCUACGGGAGGCAGCAGUGAGGAAUAUUGGUCAAUGGGCGCAAGCCUGAACCAGCCAUGCCGCGUGAAGGAUGACAGCGCUAUGCGUUGUAAACUUCUUUUGUACAGGAAGAAACACUUCUACGUGUAGAAGCUUGACGGUACUGUACGAAUAAGCAUCGGCUAACUCCGUGCCAGCAGCCGCGGUAAUACGGAGGAUGCAAGCGUCAUCCGGAUUUAUUGGGUUUAAAGGGUACGUAGGCGGGAAAUUUAGUCAGUAGUGAAAUCCUACAGCUUAACUGUAGAACUGUUAUUGAUACUGGUUUUCUUGAAUAUAGUUGAGGUAGGCGGAAUGUGUAAUGUAGCGGUGAAAUGCUUAGAUAUUACACAGAACACCGAUUGCGAAGGCAGCUAACUAAACUGAUAUUGACGCUGAGGUACGAAAGCGUGGGGGAGCGAACAGGAUUAGAUACCCUGGUAGUCCACGCUGUAAACGAUGAUCACUCGUUGUUGGCAAUACAUCGUCAGCGACUGAGCGAAAGCAUUAAGUGAUCCACCUGGGGAGUACGAUCGCA